GUAGGUGGCAAGCGUUGUCCGGAAUUAUUGGGGCGUAAAGCGCGCGCAGGCGGUUCUUUAAGUCUGAUGUGAAAGCCCACGGGCUCAACCGUGGAGGGUCAUUGGAAACUGGAGAACUUGAGUACAGAAGAGGAAAGCGGAAUUCCACGUGUAGCGGUGAAAUGCGUAGAGAUGUGGAGGAACACCAGUGGCGAAGGCGGCUUUCUGGUCUGUAACUGACGCUGAGGCGCGAAAGCGUGGGGAGCAAACAGGACUAGAUACCCUGGUAGUCCACGCCGUAAACGAUGAGUGCUAAGUGUUAGGGGGUUUCCGCCCCUUAGUGCUGCAGCUAACGCAUUAAGCACUCCGCCUGGGGAGUACGGCCGCAAAGGCUG
rnacentral:rRNA from 1 species